AUCCCAUCCCUCUGGAGCUGUGGUGCCCACCUCCGUGACCAGGUCGGGCUGAGACCUGUGACUUCAGAUGCCGUGGUGACCCGGGAGCUUGUGGCUCCUGCUCCAGCCCAGUGCCCGGCCAGAGCGGACCUGGCAGAGCCGCAGCGCCUGCCCUGGGCCUUGCCAGCUGUGUGCGUUUGCUUCAGAGCCUCAGAGUCAAAGGAGUCGUUCCCUCUUAUCUUGAUGCGUUUACUCUAAAGGUUCGGCGGAUGCAGCCUCCUCUUGCUGAUGCUGGUCGUGCUGUCCAGACCCUCGCUUCCGCCCGGAAACGCUCAGCCCCUCGGCUGCUGGGAUGUUGGUGGCUGAUGGCUCUCAGAUCACCGCCCACUCUCUUCUUGACCAGUUUGUGGCUGGUACUGAGGAGAGUGAGAUAAAGAGCUGGCUGAAACCACUGACACCAUGUUACUGCUCGGGCUGGAAGAAGCCGAGACGCACAGUGCACGCUGGGGGCCUCUAGUGAUUUUCAGAGACACCUGCGUGGCCUUCAAGAUGGGGGAACAGCCUGGACUACAGCGUGGAGGUAGGCAGUUGCCCAGCAUAGCUGACCUUCACUCAUGUCCUCAGUCCUUGAGUUUCAAACCAGGGGCUCUGUUCUCCGUGACCCGUUAUAACUGGGAUCUUCUAUUUCAGGCCCUCGGAGCUCCACACAGAUGUCACUUUUUCCAGGAAGCACUCCCUGACCCGCCAAGGCUGGGCCAGCACCUAUCUGUGGGGCCCCUCAGGACUGUGUACAGAGCCUGCAGCCAGCACUGUCCCUCCGAACUGUAACUGCCUGUUUGUCUCCUCCACUGGACUGUGAGUUCCUCGAAGGCAGGGGACUGUCCUGACCACCUCUGAAUCCCCCACACCAGUGAUGUCAUACCACCAAACAGAAGACAUUCCAGUAUUUGUUAAAGGGAUGGAUACCAAUGCCAUGAUGUCGUGCAUAUGAAAUAGAAAGCAAAAAGUUGUGGAUGUGGGCAACAGAAAGAGAAAAAGGACAGCGGA